UACGUAGGCAACGAGCGUUGUUCGGAGUUACUGGGCGUAAAGGGUGUGUAGGCGGUUGUUUAAGUUUGGUGUGAAAUCUCCCGGCUCAACUGGGAGGGUGCGCCGAAUACUGAAUGACUCGAGUGCGGGAGAGGAAAGUGGAAUUCCUGGUGUAGCGGUGAAAUGCGUAGAUAUCAGGAGGAACACCGGUGGUGUAGACGGCUUUCUGGACCGUAACUGACGCUGAGACACGAAAGCGUGGGUAGCAAACAGG
rnacentral:rRNA from 1 species